rnacentral:rRNA from 1 species
UACAGAGGGUGCAAGCGUUGUUCGGAAUCACUGGGCGUAAAGGGCGCGUAGGCGGCGUUUUAAGUCGGGGGUGAAAGCCUGUGGCUCAACCACAGAAUGGCCUCGAUACUGGGACGCUUGAGUAUGGUAGAGGUUGGUGGAACUGCGAGUGUAGAGGUGAAAUUCGUAGAUAUUCGCAAGAACACCGGUGGCGAAGGCGGCCAACUGGACCAUUACUGACGCUGAGGCGCGAAAGCGUGGGGAGCAAACAGG